ACCACUAGCCAGAGCGAUAUCUCCCUGCAGUUCUCACCUGGUUUCCCACUGAAGCUAAGUAGUGUUGAGCCAGUACCUGGGUGGGAGACCCCCUGGUGAAAACUAAGUUUGCUGCUGGAA
ensembl:rRNA 5S_rRNA 5S ribosomal RNA